rnacentral:rRNA from 1 species
CCUACGUGAGGUAGCAGUGAGGAAUAUUGGUCAAUGGGCGCGAGCCUGAACCAGCCAAGUAGCGUGAAGGAUGACUGCCCUACGGGUUGUAAACUUCUUUUAUAAAGGAAUAAAGUGAGGCACGUGUGCCUUUUUGUAUGUACUUUAUGAAUAAGGAUCGGCUAACUCCGUGCCAGCAGCCGCGGUAAUACGGAGGAUCCGAGCGUUAUCCGGAUUUAUUGGGUUUAAAGGGAGCGUAGAUGGGUUGUUAAGUCAGUUGUGAAAGUUUGCGGCUCAACCGUAAAAUUGCAAUUGAUACUGGCAGUCUUGAGUACAGUUGAGGUAGGCGGAAUUCGUGGUGUAGCGGUGAAAUGCUUAGAUAUCACGAAGAACUCCGAUUGCGAAGGCAUCUUACUAAACUGCCACUGACAUUGAUGCUCGAAAGUGUGGGUAUCAAACAGGAUUAGAUACUCCGGUAGUC